CGGAGAGGGAGCCUGAGAAACGGCUAUCACAACUAAGGUUGGCAGCAGGCGCGCAAAUUGCCCAAUAGCAACACAUCGCUGAGGCAGCGAAGAGAAAUAGCAACUUCAUGCGGCAUUGCCGUGUGAAGAUUGCCAUGGACGAUAUCUAAACCUGUCGGUGAGUAUCAAUUGGUGGACAAGUCUGGUGCCAGCACCCGCGGUAAUUCCAGCACCAAUAGCGUAUAUUAAUGCUGCUGCUGUUAAAAAGCUCGUAGUUGGAUCAAGAGUCGGAGAGUGCACGGUGGCCCUUCUAGUUCACGAGGCUCCGGUUUCGGGGACUGGUUGGGAUCAACCCCGUGCGCCAAACUCUCCGCUCUAACAGGCCGAAGCGGUUCCCUGUGAGUAGGCCCCUUUAUUGGGGUUGAAAGCGACUUCGCAUCUACCAUAUGCAUACGGGACGUCGGCCAAAGUUACUGUGAGCAAACCAGCGUGUCCAAAACAGGCUUUCGCCUGAAUGUUCGAGCAUGGAAUAACAAGGGAUCGAUUCUCUCGGUUCUUUUUGUUGGUUUUUAACCCGAGAAGGAGUAAUUCAGGCCACGGUGUCUGAGCUGGGUUCCCCUGCACUUCGGUGUAGGCCCCAGUUAGGCCGUGUCCUUACGGGAUAAAUAGGGACUGACGGGGUCGUACGUACUUCCACGUCAGAGGUGAAAUUCUCAGAUCGUGGGAAGACGAACUUUUGCGAAAGCAUUCGACAAGAAUGUCUUCAUUAAUCAAGAACGAGAGUGUGGGGAUCGAAGAUGAUCAGAUACCGUCGUAGUCCACUACUGUAAACAAUGCCGUCUCAGGAUUGAGAAGUAACGUUUUGACCUUCACAGCACUAACCCCUGAAACGAGAAAUCAAAGAUUAUGGGUUCAGGGGGGAGUACAUUCGCAAGGCUGAAACUUAAAGGAAUUGACGGAAUGACACCACAAGGCGUGGAGUAUGCGGCUUAAUUUGACUCAACACGGGGAAUUUUACUAGGUCAGGACAAUGUAAGGAUGACAGAUUGAGAGCUCUUUCUCGAUCCAUUGUGUGGUGGUGCAUGGCCGCUCCUGGUUGGUGGAGUGAUUUGUCUGGUUGAUUCCGUUAACGAACGAGAUCUCGACCCUUAAAUAGGUGCCCGUGUCGAUUGUAGUUUCAUCUCCGCUCGCUUGCGAGAUUGGAGUGGGACGAGACUGCGGGAAUACUUCUUAAGGGGACUGUGUGCGUCUAUAGCACGCGGAGGAGCGAGCCAAUAGCAGGUCUGUGAUGCUCCUAAAUGUCCUAGGCUGCACGCGCACUACACUGAUGCAAUAAACGAGUCUGAGUGCCUUCUGGCAACCUACCUGGAAGCGGGUGGGAAAUCUUUUGAACUUGCAUCGUGAUGAGGAUCGACGAUUGCAAUUAUUCUCCUUGAAUGAGGAAUCCCUACGUAGGCACAAGUCAUCAGCUGGUACUGAUUACGUCCCUGCCAUUUGUACACACCGCCCGUCGUUGGUACUGAUUGGCUGUAGGGUAGAGAUCGGCGGAAUUCGGCCAGUUGGGGUGACUCUUCUGGCUGGGCAAAACCUAUCAAUAUUCUGCAGCUAGAAGAAGCAAAAGUCGUAACAAGGUAACC
rnacentral:rRNA from 1 species